UACGUAGGUGACAAGCGUUGUCCGGAUUUACUGGGCGUAAAGAGCGCGCAGGCGGUCGAUCAAGUCGAGUGUGAAAGCCCCCGGCUCAACUGGGGAGGGUCAUUCGAUACUGAUCGACUCGAAGGCAGGAGAGGGUAGUGGAAUUCCCGGUGUAGUGGUGAAAUGCGUAGAUAUCGGGAGGAACACCGGUGGCGAAGGCGGUUCUCUGGGCAUUACCUGACGCUGAGGAGCGAAAGUGUGGGGAGCGAACAGG
rnacentral:rRNA from 1 species